AUAAACCCCAAAGCAAUUCUAGGGUUUUGAAGACAGUCAACUCCAAUAUCGCCGAUCUGUAUAUCUUCGUUUUCUUUUUCUCAGAUUUGUCAAAUAAAGGGUAUAUGUAACCUAUGUAUGCAAUGGUAUAUUGGUAUGUCAUCCUUAAAGCAAAUAGGCUAAUUCUAAUGCCAACUUUGUGUCGGAAGAUGACUAAAUCAACAAAGAUUGUAGGUUGUUUUACUAAUGAAGAGUUACACUCCAUUGGUAUGCUUGCACCUUUGACAUUGAUGUAUACAAAUUAAUUGUAGAGAACAUCUCUUUACAAGCACAAUAAUAUUAAUAAUUCAUUUGAAAGAUGUUCAACAUCAAAUUCAAAAUCAGGAAUGACUAAAACUCUAUUUAGUAAGCAGCAAUUUGCUGAGUUUUUAUAUUUGUAUUCAAGAAGCUGAAUAACAUAAAGUAAUCAAUUUUAUAAAACUGAAAAGGAAACAACAUCGUGGCAUUGACAUAUUGCGACAAUCACCAUCACCUGGAACCAAACACCCAGAUUCAAAAACACCUCUACCAAACUGUUUAGGAAAACGCCUUUACAAGUGUAAAUCUUUUAAAUCUGUUUGGGCAAAUAUUAUUAACAUUAGACCAAAGUUCCAAAUUUUAACAUCAUGGGUAAUUUGAGAAAUUUUUGAUGUUUAGUUUUAGUUUGAACCUGACAAAGGUUUUUAUUUUUUUGUAAUUUUCAUUUCAGCAAAGCUCACUCAAACAACUGUCAUUUCAACUAUUUUAUUUUCAAAAAGCUUUUUAACCAAAUCCCUUUCAACCAAUCCCUUCUAAACAAAAAAUUGUUCAAUGAUCCUUCAAAAGAUGUAGGUAUCGUUAAAGAAUACUAAACUGUCCGGACAACUAUUGAAUACCUUAAGGAACAAAAAGGGGCAAUAAAAACCAUGGCGCAAAAGUAGCUAAAUUAGCCAAUGGAUGUUCUUGGAUGUCUAUCAAGACUGAUAAUGUUGCUGUGAUAAUCUGAAAACAUGGUGGUUUUUAGAAAUGGGUUUUGGGUUAUUUCCAUGUGGAAAUUUAUAGGAUAAAUUUGUUCACCGGAAAAAGAAUAAUGAUUUUUAAGGGUAAAUAUAUUUUAGGUUUUAUUAAUGUUCUUUAAGUUAUUUUUUGUCCAUAUAUUAUUGUUUAACUUAUUUGAUCUGAUCAUGUUAUGUAUUUAUUAUGA